rnacentral:rRNA from 1 species
AGCGAACGCUGGCGGCAGGCCUAACACAUGCAAGUCGAACGAACUCUUCGGAGUUAGUGGCGGACGGGCGAGUAACACGUGGGAACGUGCCUUUUGGUUCGGAAUAACUCAGGGAAACUUGUGCUAAUACCGAAUGUGCCCUUCGGGGGAAAGAUUUAUCGCCAUUAGAGCGGCCCGCGUCUGAUUAGCUAGUUGGUGAGGUAACGGCUCACCAAGGCGACGAUCAGUAGCUGGUCUGAGAGGAUGACCAGCCACACUGGGACUGAGACACGGCCCAGACUCCUACGGGAGGCAGCAGUGGGGAAUAUUGCGCAAUGGGCGAAAGCCUGACGCAGCCAUGCCGCGUGAAUGAUGAAGGUCUUAGGAUUGUAAAAUUCUUUCACCGGGGACGAUAAUGACGGUACCCGGAGAAGAAGCCCCGGCUAACUUCGUG